AUUGAACGCUGGCGGCAUGCUUUACACAUGCAAGUCGAACGGUAACAGGUUAAGCUGACGAGUGGCGAACGGGUGAGUAAUGCAUCGGAACGUGCCCGAUCGUGGGGGAUAACGCAGCGAAAGCUGCGCUAAUACCGCAUACGAUCUGAGGAUGAAAGCGGGGGACCGUAAGGCCUCGCGCGAUCGGAGCGGCCGAUGUCAGAUUAGGUAGUUGGUGGGGUAAAGGCUCACCAAGCCGACGAUCUGUAGCUGGUCUGAGAGGACGACAAGCCGCACUGGGACUGAGACACGGCCCAGACUCCUACGGGAGGCAGCAGUGGGGAAUUUUGGACAAUGGGCGAAAGCCUGAUCCAGCAAUGCCGCGUGCAGGAAGAAGGCCUUCGGGUUGUAAACUGCUUUUGUACGGAGCGAAAAGGCUCUCUCUAAUACAGGGGGCUCAUGACGGUACCGUAAGAAUAAGCACCGGCUAACUACGUGCCAGCCGCCGCCGUAA
rnacentral:rRNA from 1 species